GAUGAACGCUGGCGGCGUGCCUAAUACAUGCAAGUCGAGCGAACCACUUCGGUGGUGAGCGGCGAACGGGUGAGUAACACGUAGGUGAUCUGCCCAUCAGACGGGGACAACGAUUGGAAACGAUCGCUAAUACCGGAUAGGACGAAAGUUUAAAGGUGCUUCUGGCACCGCUGAUGGAUGAGCCUGCGGCGCAUUAGCUAGUUGGUAGGGUAAAGGCCUACCAAGGCGACGAUGCGUAGCCGACCUGAGAGGGUGAACGGCCACACUGGGACUGAGACACGGCCCAGACUCCUACGGGAGGCAGCAGUAGGGAAUCUUCGGCAAUGGGCGAAAGCCUGACCGAGCAACGCCGCGUGAAUGAUGAAGGCCUUCGGGUUGUAAAAUUCUGUUAUAAGGGAAGAAAAUGACGGUACUUGACUAAGAAGCCCCGGCUAAAUAACGUGCCAGCAGCCGCGGU
rnacentral:rRNA from 1 species